rnacentral:rRNA from 1 species
CAGCAGUGGGGAAUAUUGCACAAUGGGCGCAAGCCUGAUGCAGCCAUGCCGCGUGUAUGAAGAAGGCCUUCGGGUUGUAAAGUACUUUCAGCAGUGAGGAAGGUGGGUAUGUUAAUAGCAUAUUCAUUUGACGUUAGCUGCAGAAGAAGCACCGGCUAACUCCGUGCCAGCAGCCGCGGUAAUACGGAGGGUGCGAGCGUUAAUCGGAAUUACUGGGCGUAAAGCGCAUGCAGGUGGUUUGUUAAGUCAGAUGUGAAAGCCCGGGGCUCAACCUCGGAAUUGCAUUUGAAACUGGCAAACUAGAGUACUGUAGAGGGGGUAGGAAUUUCAGGUGUAGCGGUGAAAUGCGUAGAGAUCUGAAGGAAUACCGGUGGCGAAGGCGGCCCCCUGGACCAGAUACUGACACUCAGAUGCGAAAGCGUGGGGAGCAAACAGGAUUAGAUACCCUGUAG